AUGACCCCGACCUAGCUAUCUAGGUUAUUACUCUCGAGUCAGCUGACUGCAUGAUGCUAGAAGAAGAAGAGAAAGCAAAGCUGGAUCUCCUCCACGAGGACUGGCCGGCGCUCAUGCAGAGGCUUAAGAACAAUCCCUGUGCCUCUUAUUUAUUUAGGUUGAUUGAUUUUCCUAGAAAAAUAUGUAUGUUUUCGAUGAAUUGCUCAUUCAUAUUCAUAUAUGUUUGUUCUGUGCUGUGAGUGAGAAUGAGAUUGUAUUUGCUGUUUCCUUGGGUGGGAGGUGGGGCUUUUCUUUGAUUGUGUUUGAGAGGGAGGGAAACUGUGGCUGAGUUGAGAUGUUAGAUCCGCCGAUCCCUUUGAUGAUUUGAAUUCAGACAUGAAUGCCCUGACCGUUCGGAAUCUCAAGUUUCUCUUUGUUUUUCAGACUCGUUUUGCGUUGUCGCUUCCUUGGUGGGUAGCUGGUUAGGAACCACCUCACCACGAAAUUCUCUCCAUCACUCGAACUAGUAGUGAUGUUAAGAGAGACUGUGGCACGGGAAUGUUCUAGUUUGAGGGGAGGUGAAAGCUUCCAUUACUGAAAGCUAGCUAGUAGCGAAACACCAAUGAUUUAUUUCAUGAUUCUGGAGGAACUUCUAAAGAAACUGAUCAAGGGGUUGGAGGCCCAUACUUGGGGUUACCACGAGUGUUGAACAGAGAAGCACCGCCACUUGAAAAACGUGAUGACUGAUCGACUAUCCUGUGUAGCUUUUGAAUAUGCCAUGCCUACCCCGCCUCACCUAUGUUCCUAGCCGAAAUAAACUUCGGUUUGGAAAUUUGCAACUGGGAUGAUCUUCUGUCCAGAUGAAUCCUCAUGGUUUCCCAAACUUCUGUUGUUAUUAAGAAAGGCAGCUAAGGUACAGGUUGGUCAGAACUAGCUUGGGGUCAUGGAAUACUAUGGAACAAGGAUGAGGUCAGUUAUCACUAAUAUAGAGGUUAUUCCUUCUCAAUAUAUACAUUUUCUCCAGCAGUUCACAAUAAUCUAUCGAUGCCUCUCUGCCAUGACAUGCUUCAAGGUGAUUGGAUUUCAGGGUAUUCUUCAAAAGACUCAUUUGCCUAGCAGCUGCUUUUUCAGUCACACUAGGUACCUAAAGUUGCCAGACAAAUCCAUCUUCUUCAAGGUUUAAUACAAGCACCGGCCUCAAAAAAUGUAAGAGGUUUUGCUUGGAAUAUUGUGUACCGAACGCAUGUUGGUGUCAAGAAGGGAAGAACCUCUGCUGUAUGCUUUCACUAGAUUGCUCCGAGGUUCAGUGACCUAAGAGAACUGGCACCUAGUGGUUGGCAAGACCUCUAUGUAGGGAUGGCCGCCCCAAACAAGGUAGCGUUUGAUUGAUCUUUUCUUUUUCUCUUGUUGUUGAAAGUUUAGAUAGUUUUUUUUUUUGGAUAGGAUAGAUAGUGUUUUAGCAAAAUUUUGUCUUAAAGAUACACCAUCAUAAUCCCCUGAAAAAUAUUAAAAUAUUGCUAAAACGAUACAAAUCAGACCA